rnacentral:rRNA from 1 species
GACGAACGCUGGCGGCGUGCCUAAUACAUGCAAGUAGAACGCUGAAGAGAGGAGCUUACUCUUCUUGGAUGAGUUGCGAACGGGUGAGUAACGCGUAGGUAACCUGCCUUGUAGCGGGGGAUAACUAUUGGAAACGAUAGCUAAUACCGCAUAACAAUGGAUGACACAUGUCACUUAUUUGAAAGGGGCAAUUGCUCCACUACAAGAUGGACCUGCGUUGUAUUAGCUAGUAGGUGAGGUAAUGGCUCACCUAGGCGACGAUACAUAGCCGACCUGAGAGGGUGAUCGGCCACACUGGGACUGAGACACGGCCCAGACUCCUACGGGAGGCAGCAGUAGGGAAUCUUCGGCAAUGGGGGCAACCCUGACCGAGCAACGCCGCGUGAGUGAAGAAGGUUUUCGGAUCGUAAAGCUCUGUUGUAAGUCAAGAACGGGUGUGAGAGUGGAAAGUUCACACUGUGACGGUAGCUUACCAGAAAGGGACGGCUAACUACGUG